rnacentral:rRNA from 1 species
UACGUAGGGUGCAAGCGUUAAUCGGAAUUACUGGGCGUAAAGCGUGCGCAGGCGGUUAUGUAGGACAGGUGUGAAAUCCCCGGGCUUAACCUGGGAACUGCAUUUGUGACUGCAUAGCUAGAGUACUGUAGAGGGGGAUGGAAUUCCGCGUGUAGCAGUGAAAUGCGUAGAUAUGCGGAGGAACACCGAUGGCGAAGGCAAUCCCCUGGACCUGUACUGACGCUCAUGCACGAAAGCGUGGGGAGCAAACAGG